rnacentral:tRNA from 1 species
GGGGUUGUGGCUCAGUGGUAGAGCACUUGCCUAGCAUGUGUGAAGCACUGGGUUCGAUCCUCAGCACCA